AAUCAACGCUGGCGGCGUGCCUCAGACAUGCAAGUCGAACGAUUAAAGCUCUCUUCGGAGAGUGCAUAGAGUGGCGCACGGGUGAGUAACACGUAAGUAAUCUACCUUCGAGUGGGGAAUAACGUCCGGAAACGGACGCUAAUACCGCAUAAUGCAGCGGCAUCGCAAGAUGACAGUUGUUAAAGAUUUAUCGCUUGAAGAGGAGCUUGCGGCAGAUUAGCUAGUUGGUAAGGUAAUGGCUUACCAAGGCUACGAUCUGUAACCGGUCUUGGAGGACGAUCGGUCACACUGACACUGAAUAACGGAGCAGACUCCUACGGGAGGCAGCAGGCGGGAAUUUUGGGCAAUGGGCGAAAGCCUGACCCAGAAACGCCGCGUGAAGGAUGAAGUAUUUCGGUAUGUAAACUUCGAAAGAAUGGGAAGAAUCAAUGACGGUACCAUUUAUAAGGUCCGGCUAACUCCGUGCCAGCCGCCGCCGUAAAAC
rnacentral:rRNA from 1 species